GCGACAGGAGCAGCUCCAGGUUCUGGUCCUGCCCCGGUGGCAUAUGGGAGCGUAGCCCUGAGCCGAGACGUACAGUCCCGUUCCACGCUGUCGCACACUAAGCUCCGCCCCCUGGCUCCUGCCAGAGAGGAAAGGGCCUCCUGUAUAUUCCUACAACUUCCCAGAAUCCUUCUGUGUCUGGGGAGUCAAACCAUGCAGGAGACAAUC